AGUGAACGCUGGCGGUAGGCCUAACACAUGCAAGUCGAACGGCAGCACAGUAAGAGCUUGCUCUUACGGGUGGCGAGUGGCGGACGGGUGAGGAAUACAUCGGAAUCUACUUUUUCGUGGGGGAUAACGUAGGGACACUUACGCUAAUACCGCAUACGACCUACGGGUGAAAGCAGGGGAUCUUCGGACCUUGCGCGAUUGAAUGAGCCGAUGUCGGAUUAGCUAGUUGGCGGGGUAAAGGCCCACCAAGGCGACGAUCCGUAGCUGGUCUGAGAGGAUGAUCAGCCACACUGGAACUGAGACACGGUCCAGACUCCUACGGGAGGCAGCAGUGGGGAAUAUUGGACAAUGGGCGCAAGCCUGAUCCAGCCAUACCGCGUGGGUGAAGAAGGCCUUCGGGUUGUAAAGCCCUUUUGUUGGGAAAGAAAAGCAGCAGGCUAAUACCCCGCUGUUCUGACGGUACCCAAAGAAUAAGCACCGGCUAACUUCGUG
rnacentral:rRNA from 1 species